AUAAACCUCCAUACGUGCGCAGUUCCAUAAUAAAAUAAACUUCAGGCCACCUAUUACUACAUGACAAAAACUUAACUAAACAAAUAAAGCAGGCUUCUUGAAGUUGUUGCAUUUUCAAUCAAAUAAAAUGUUAGUGUCACAGUAUUGGCACCAUUUCUGGAGACAAAAAGGAUCAAAUCUUUUAAAUAUUAGAUGCCUCACGUUCAGUAGAACCUUUUGUUGGCCAAAUGUUUAGCAGGUUUACAAGUUCCAAAAAGAUCCAGCAGUGCAACACAUGCUGAUUUAAUUAGGCUAUCGCUCAUCUUAUCUCCUCCUUACGGUGUUCUGACUUCUGACUAUAAAUACCUCCUCUGAUUCUUCUAUUCCAUCACCAGUUUGAGAUACCCCUCAUUAGAGAAAAAAAAACAAACAAUAAGAAAUGGAUUCUCUUUCUUCAAAACCCAAUCACGUUCGAUCAAUCAGUUUGCCCGGGAGAUCACACCCUACCACCCAGAGAGUUGAAGAGGAGCUCAACAAGCUCAAAUCAUUGGAAGUAUCAGCUGCACCAGCAGCUGUGAGCAAUGGUUUAAUCGGUUUAGAGAAAUUGUACAAGUGCAUAGAUGAUCUUCUCAACUUGCCUCAAAUACUUCAAGCCCUCUCUCAGAGUCUAAAUGCAAAAUGGCUUGACGAUUUAUUGGAUAAAUCAGUGAGGCUUCUUGAUCUUUGUGGCACAAUAAGGGAACUCGUCUCACAAUGUAAAGAAAAUGUAAGAGAUUUACAAUCAUCUCUUAGAAGGAGAAAAGGAGAUUCAACUACAGAUGACAGCGUUGAAAGAUUUACCUCUUUCUGCAAGAAGAUCAAGAGGGACGCCAAAAGAUCUGUCUCGACUUUGAAACAAAUGGAUCAAGAGACUGCAGUAUUGGUCUUGCUAGAUGCAGAUCAAGAUACAGUAGAUGUGAUUAGAGCACUAAAAGAAGCUAAUGCAGUAUGCCUUUCAACUUUCCAAAUGCUAUUAUCCUUCUUGUGUGUACCCCUUUUGAAGCCUAAGCCAUCAAAGUGGUCUUUGCUUUCAAGAUUGGUGCAAAAAGAAAGAAUAGCAUCUGAAUACCACGAAGAAAACAUGAGUUUGGAAACAAGGCUGGAAACUUUCGAGGCUUACCUUGACAGCUUUGAAGAUGGAUUGGAAGCAACAUUUAGGUGUCUCAUUAGAUCUAGAAGCUCGCUCCUCAAUAUUUCCUCCUCCUAAUCUGUCAGUUGUUAUUCCAAACACUGUAAAUUGUAUAUAAACAGUUUUGUAGUUAUGCUUAGAAAUACACAAAUCUCAAGUGAAUGAAUAUACACCAAUUUAAUAUCUCUUUCUAUGCGUGUACUUUCAUCAAUAGCCCAAAAUAUUCGUCAAAAUGGCUCUCUUAAAACUGGGGGUUUGAAAUAGAUAAAACUCAUAGCCCGUCAGUUACACACUUACGCCACAUAAUUGGUUUUGUUAAUCAAACCAAGGAAGCCUCUCGUGUAAAGUCAGAUGACGUGAAUAAUUGACCUGAAAAGUGAGAUUAAUUC
rnacentral:lncRNA from 1 species